GCAGCCGCGGUAAUUCCAGCUCCAAUAGCGUAUAUUAAAGUUGUUGCAGUUAAAAAGCUCGUAGUUGAAUUUCUGGAAAGUUCAUGCUGGCUGGUGUUGACCGGCCAUGUCUGUUCUUUCCAUUCUCACGGGGAAGGCCUGGAGUUCGCAAGAGCCCAGUGUCCGGAACCGUGUCAUUUACUGUGAAAAAAUUAGAGUGUUUAAAGCAGGCGUUUUCGCUUGAAUACAUUAGCAUGGAAUAAUAAGAUAGGACUUCGGUCUAUUUUGUUGGUUGCGGCCCGAGGUAAUGAUUAAUAGGGAUAGUUGGGGGUAUUCAUAUUUAAUUGUCAGAGGUGAAAUUCUUGGAUUUAUUAAAGAUGAACGACUGCGAAAGCAUUUACCAAGGAUGUUUUCACUAAUCAAGAACGAAAGUCAGGGGAUCGAAGAGGAUUAGAUACCCUCGUAGUCUUGACCAUAAACUAUGCCGACUCAGGAUUGGCAGACGUUGUUUCCGACUCUGUCAGCACUGUAUG
rnacentral:rRNA from 1 species